GCCACUUCGUCAAAGCAGGAGGCCUUCAUGCCCUUCUCAGCAGGCCGCCGCUCGUGCCUCGGGGAGCCCCUGGCCCGCAUGGAGCUCUUCCUCUUCUUCACCUGCCUCCUGCAGCGCUUCAGCUUCUCGGUGCCCGCUGGGCAGCCCCGCCCCAGCGACUAUGGUGUCUUUGGCUUCCUGGUGACCCCGUCCCCCUACCAGCUCUGUGCUGUGCCCCGCUAGAGGGGGACACCAAGCCCCAACCCCCUCCUCGGCCAGGGCCCUGAUGUCCAAUAAACCAGUAUGAUGGCUCCAA